GGGCAUAGCUCAGUGGUAGAGAGCUUGUCUGUUGUGCCUGAGACUCUUGGUUCAAUCUCCAGUGCUGCCA
rnacentral:tRNA from 1 species